rfam:Piloderma croceum F 1598 unplaced genomic scaffold scaffold_00041, whole genome shotgun sequence.
GCCUUUGUAGCUUAGUGGUAGAGCGUCGCACUUGUAUCACUUUAUCCGUGAUGCGGAGGUCACUCGUUCAAACCGGGUCGGAGGCA